rnacentral:tRNA from 1 species
GAGACACUAGUAAAAUAACCAUUACGCUACCUUGUCAAGGUAGGAUUGUGGGUUAAAGCCCCGCGUGUUUUA